rnacentral:rRNA from 1 species
CCCUUAGAUGUCCUGGGCCGCACGCGUGCUACACUGAUGCAUACAGCGAGUACUUUCCAGCUCCGCGAGGCAGCUGGUAAUCAGCAAUAUGCAUCGUGCUGGGGAUAGAUCUUUGGAAUUAUAGAUCUUGAACGAGGAAUUCCUAGUAAGCGCAAGUCAUUAGCUUGCGCUGAUUAAGUCCCUGCCCUUUGUACACACCGCCCGUCGCCCCUACCGAUUGAGUGAUCCGGUGAAUAAUUCGGACUGCAGCACUGCUUGGUCUCCAGGCUUUGCAGCGGAAAGUUUAGUGAACCUUAUCACUUAGAGGAAGGAGAAGUCGUAACA